UUGUGUGACUCCCGGUUCAUCCUCUUUGUUCGGGUCAUUGGGUUGGUGUUGGAGUUGGUCACCAUAUUCUGAACGUUUCACCUAUCGUUGCGGUGUACUGUUCUUGAUCUGCUGCGAAGCGAUGAACCGCAACGGCAGUCACUCGCCUCAGCGAACUUCUGUCUGCUGCAUCUCAAAGGAGCAUGGGGACCUGAUGAUACCUUCAACUAAAGAAACCAAAUGUGCUCUCGUGUGGUCCUGACGGAAAAGUAGUAUCAACAAGAACCCUCCACUUUUUCGACCAAGUUAUCGUUAUGAGAUCCUUCUGAUGGCUUCUUACUAGGCUAUGCCGCUCCGAAGCAUUGAGAUGACGAAGCGUCGUGGUAGCUGCACCUCUGCCUUCGAAAGAUGAAUCAGUCAUUCCACACUGUGCUUACUGGCUUUGUGUAGAGUCUGGCAAAUCCGACAGACUUGGACUGCCUUUUUCAAGAAAGUUUGAAAUAGCAUCCCUUAUGCACCUGCAUUUCAAUUCCAAUCUGUAUUACAAGAAUGACACCACUCAACAGAGAUGAACAUCUGAAAGUGAAAGAGCUGGAAUGAAGAUACGUUAAUCUGUGUCAAAGGUUCUUAGUAUGUGUGCGAGUCGAGGACAUAGGUCUCAAGCUUAUUCCUGUCUUCAGAAGAGGUGACAACUAUGCUCCUUCUAUCUAUUAACCAGCUCCACUUUUUAGGGUUCCCUGUAAACUAAUGGAGCACAUCAUGUACUACCACGUUGUCAACUAAGUUGACUCUGUCAAUUUCUUUUUUUAAAUUCCAGCAUGGCUUUAGAAAAGGGUAUUCAGGCAAAACUAACGUAGUGGAAUUCGUUCACAGCAUUUCAAACUGUCUUGAUUUCUGGGUCCAUGUAGAUGUAGUAUUCUUUUUAUUUUGUAAGGGCUUUUGACACUGUGCUCUACGCUCGCGUGUUGGCCAAAGUAGCCUAAUUAAAAUUUGAUCCUGCUACCUGGAUAUGCAGUUUCUCAACUAACCGUAACUGUGGCGACAACUCGUGAGGAGAACCUAUCAUAUCGCCACCAUGCAGCAUUUGUUAUAUUACAAUCGCUUCACAUUUUAAUCUAGUCAAAAGCAAGGCCUUUUGGUGAUCGGUCUUGUAUAAUUACGUGCCCCUCCGUUAUGUAACACCACACUGGGUUCUUCAACCUAUGAGA